GGAUCAUUACCACAAAUUAAUCCAUUUCUAAUUCCGGUGAAACACUUUAUAAAUGUCUGCUGUCAUUUCUUUUUUUUAUAUGAAGAUUUGAAUAGCGCCCUUUUUUAAAUCCUUUUUUAUUUUAUUUCGAAAGUUUCAUCAACGAACAUUGAAAUAACUUUUAGCGAUGGAUGUCUAGGUUCUCGCAACGAUGAAGAACGCAGCGAAAUGCGAUACGUAAUGCGAAUUGCAGAAUCCGUGAAUCAUCAAAAUUUUGAACGCACAUUGCACUUCCUGGUUUCCGGGAAGUAUUUCUGUUUGAGUGUCUGUUCUCUCAUCUCACUGAAUUUCAGUGGAUUUUGGGUUUUUAUGUAUGUGUGCGCGCAAGUGGCAUGUUGACCUAAAACCUGUUUGGUAUGCUAAGCCUCACAAAAACUUUGGAUAAUCUACUUUUUUCAAAGAAAAAGGUGCAGGUGUUUUUACGCAUAAAAACAACAUUACAAAUCAGACCUCAAAUCAGGAAA
rnacentral:rRNA from 1 species